rnacentral:rRNA from 1 species
UACGUAGGUGGCGAGCGUUGUCCGGAUUUACUGGGCGUAAAGAGCGCGCAGGCGGUCGUGCAAGUCGCGUGUGAAAGCCCCCGGCUCAACUGGGGAGGGUCACGCGAUACUGCUCGACUUGAAGGCAGGAGAGGGAAGUGGAAUUCCCGGUGUAGUGGUGGAAUGCGUAGAGAUCCGGAGGAACACCAGCGGCGAAGGCGGCGUCCUGGACUGGUACUGACGCUCAGGAGCGAAAGCGUGGGGAGCGAUCCGG